AGUGUAUUGAAACAUAAAGUAAAUAAAAGUUUACUCGACACGAGAGGGAGGGAGGAUUAAGAGCAAUCAUCAUAAGUUAAAAGGUAACUUUACUAUCUUCAGGCAGAAAAGUAAAGUUCCUAAAAAAGACUGCACCCUAAACAACACUGUUUGUGAGCCUAAAGCCAUUCAACAACCUUAUACAACUCCAAUUCCAAGAAAACAAAACAAGCGAGGAAAAAAAAAACUAAACAGUUCUAUGGGUACCUCUAUGUUUAUGUUCUCCUGAAAAUUGGAGUUAGCACUAAGACAGAUUGCUACGACUCCUCCGUCUGCAGUUGCUACUACACUGUUACAUCCGGAUAAGGAGACUUGUACUCCAUCAACCAUCACACACGAUUUCCCGUCUUUUUAAAAACCAAGACAUGCCCAAGGAUUAUAGGCGCUUGGUUCAAACCUUGGUGAAUGAUAUGUGGCCCAGGUCCAACACGUGGUGAACAAUCACCAGCCUACAGUUCGAAAUCUUGAGAAUAAUGGCCCUACACCUCUACCUUGCUCUUUUUAAAACCAUGCUUUUGUUCCCAACCGUGAUGUGCAGCUAAUCCAAAUACCACUGUUCUAAUUACUUAUUUACAAGCUA
rnacentral:misc_RNA from 1 species